AUUUGGUUGGUUAUGCAACAUUCUUCUAACCCACCACACCAACCCUUGUCCAUUGUUCCUUCUCUUUGACCACCAAACACCAUAUAUUAUAUAUUUUAUUAGUGGUUGACCUAAAAUACUCAAAAUCCAAAAUGCUUGCAUGUUUUCUUUGAAGCAGAGACAUGGAGAGAUAAUUGAAUAUUGACAAGUAAUAUUGUAGCUUUUACUUAAGACAAAAUCUCAUGAGGACAUAGCAUACAACCUUUGACAAACUGGUAAAUGCGGAGGAGUUUCCAAUUCGGUUUGUUCGGGUCAUGAAACAUAGAAAUUGAAUGAUAUUGGUUCUGGUUCGGUUUUAAUUGAUAAAACCGGAUUUGCCAGCUUUAGUUAUGCGUGCAUAAACCGGAUCUUGUCAAACCCCUAAACAAGCUUGACGUGAAUUUGCAAUAAUAAAAUAUUUAUUUAUUUUUUUUUUUUCGCUUUCCUCAUGCUCGCCGACGGGCAUGAAGUUUCACACUCGUCUCGUCGUCGAACUUCCGAUCUGGCGAGAGCGUCUUCAUCGGAUUAGUCCUCUUUUGUCGUUGAUUUGCUACUUCACGGGGGUGUGUAUGCCCACCACUUGUUCGACGAAAAUCCACCUGAAAUGUUGGAUGAGCAGAGUUUGGAGAAGCUUUCAUGAAAAGCGAGAUCUAUGGAUGUUUCUAGAUCUAAUCUGAUGAGAUCUCUCCACUUGAAGUUCCAAUGGAAUAUGAUUAUUUGCAUUGCCACUAAAAAUGGAUUCUGAUGCUUAAUCACGAUUAUUGUGCUGCUUUUGCAGC